UUAUUACUCCCUCCGAUCCAUACUACUUGUUGCUCAAACGGAUGUAUCUAGACGUAUUUCAGUGCUAGAUACGUCUGUUUGAGCAACAAGUAAUUUGGAUCGGAGGGAGUGGCUA
rnacentral:pre_miRNA from 1 species